AUGGCCAUCACUCAGUUUCGGUUCUUUAAAGUUUGUACUUGCCUAGCAAUAGUGUUCUCAUUCCUAAAGAGAUUAAUGUGCAGAUCUGGCAGAGGAAGGAAAUUAAGUGGAGAUCAAAUAACUUUGCCCACCACAGUUGAUUAUUCGUCUGUCCCUAAGCAGACAGACCUGGAGGAGUGGACUUCCUGGGAUGAAGAUGAGCCCACUAGUGCAUCGAAGGAGGGA
rnacentral:lncRNA from 1 species